rnacentral:rRNA from 1 species
AAAAACAUCGCCUCUUGCAAAAUAAAUGAAUAAGAGGUCCCGCCUGCCCUGUGACUAUAUGUUCAACGGCCGCGGUAUUUUGACCGUGCGAAGGUAGCGCAAUCACUUGUCUUUUAAAUGAAGACCUGUAUGAAUGGCAUCACGAGGGCUUAGCUGUCUCCCCCUCCCAGUCAAUGAAAUUGAUUUUCCCGUGCAGAAGCGGGAAUAAGAACAUAAGACGAGAAGACCCUAUGGAGCUUAAGACGCCAGGACAGCUCAUGUUAAACACCCCAGAACAAAGGGAAUAAACUUAGUGAAACCCUGCCCUAGUGUCUUUGGUUGGGGCGACCACGGGGAAAAACUUAACCCCCAUGCGGAAUAGGAAUACUAUUUUCCUAGACUCAAGAGCUCCCGCUCUAAUAGACAGAAUUUCUGACCAAAAGGAUCCGGCAAUGCCGAUCAACGGACCGAGUUACCCUAGGGAUAACAGCGCAAUCCUCUUUAAGAGUCCCUAUCGACAAGAGGGUUUACGACCUCGAUGUUGGAUCAGGACAUCCUAAUGGUGCAGCCGCUAUUAAGGGUUCGUGUCAACGAUAAGUC